rnacentral:lncRNA from 1 species
GAAAAUCGAAAUCGUAAAGGUAAAGCCAAAACAGUCAUGAAACUAAAGCAUGAACGAUUGCGAAUGAAAAAGGAAAUCGAGUAAGGUCUGAAACGCAGAGAAAAAAAAAAGCACGCCCGGUGUAGAGAGAGAAAAAGGAGAGAGACCCGAAGAGCGAGAAGCAUAACCACUGUCUCUGUUUCUUUGCUUAGUUUAGUGUCCACAAAUGCAGAGGGCGAGUGAGUUUUAUGACUUCAGAUAAAAAAGAUAAGAGACGUAAGAAGGAGAUGCUGACACUUAAUUGAGAUUGUGAGUACUAUGGAGUAGAAAGCGAAGGAGAGGGAGGUGUCGUGGAGAACAAGCAGAGAGGGCGCAAACAUUUCA